rnacentral:rRNA from 1 species
GAUGAACGCUGGCGGCGUGCCUAAUACAUGCAAGUCGAGCGAACGGACGAGAAGCUUGCUUUUCUGAUGUUAGCGGCGGACGGGUGAGUAACACGUGGAUAACCUACCUAUAAGACUGGGAUAACUUCGGGAAACCGGAGCUAAUACCGGAUAAUAUUUUGAACCGCAUGGUUCAAAAGUGAAAGACGGUCUUGCUGUCACUUAUAGAUGGAUUCGCGCUGCAUUAGCUAGUUGGUAAGGUAACGGCUUACCAAGGCAACGAUGCAUAGCCGACCUGAGAGGGUGAUCAGCCACACUGGAACUGAGACACGGUCCAGACUCCUACGGGAGGCAGCAGUAGGGAAUCUUCCGCAAUGGGCGAAAGCCUGACGGAGCAACGCCGCGUGAGUGAUGAAGGUCUUCGGAUCGUAAAACUCUGUUAUUAGGGAAGAACAUAUGUGUAAGUAACUGUGCACAUCUUGACGGUACCUAAUCAGAAAGCCACGGCUAACUACGUG